ensembl:misc_RNA 7SK 7SK RNA
GGAUGUGAGGGUGAUCUGGCUGUGACAUCUGUCACCCCAUUGAUGGCCAGGAUUGAUUUGGCUGAUCUGGCUGGCUAGGCGGGUGUCCCCUUCCUCCCUCACCGCUCCAUGUGCAUCCCUCCUGAAGCUGCACACUCGGUCGAAGGGGACGACUAUCCCCCAUAGAGGAGGACCGGUCUUCGGUCAAGGGUAUACGAGUAGCUGCGCUUCCCUGCUAGAACCUCCAAACAAGCUCUCAAUUCUCAGUACCACCAAAAGAAGACAAAAUAAAGAAGGUAGUAAGUCACCCCUCCAGCAGUGCCUGGCACACAACAGGU